rnacentral:rRNA from 1 species
CAUCGGUGUUCCUCCGCAUAUCUACGCAUUUCACUGCUACACGCGGAAUUCCACCUCCCUCUGACACACUCUAGCCCGGUAGUUAAAAAUGCAGUUCCAAAGUUAAGCUCUGGGAUUUCACAUCUUUCUUUCCGAACCGCCUGCGCACGCUUUACGCCCAGUAAUUCCGAUUAACGCUUGCACCCUACGUAUUACCGCGGCUGCUGGCACGUAGUUAGCCGGUGCUUAUUCUGCAGGUACCGUCAGUUUCGCGGGGUAUUAACCCGCGACGUUUCUUUCCUGCCAAAAGUGCUUUACAACCCGAAGGCCUUCAUCGCACACGCGGGAUGGCUGGAUCAGGGUUUCCCCCAUUGUCCAAAAUUCCCCACUGCUGCCUCCCGUAGGAGUCUGGGCCGUGUCUCAGUCCCAGUGUGGCUGGUCGUCCUCUCAAACCAGCUACGGAUCGUCGCCUUGGUGAGCCGUUACCCCACCAACUAGCUAAUCCGAUAUCGGCCGCUCCAAUAGUGCAAGGUCUUGCGAUCCCCUGCUUUCCCCCGUAGGGCGUAUGCGGUAUUAGCUACGCUUUCGCGUAGUUAUCCCCCGCUACUGGGCACGUUCCGAUACAUUACUCACCCGUUCGCCACUCGCCACCAGACCGAAGUCCGUGCUGCCGUUCGACUUGCAUGUGUAAGGCAUCCCGCUAGCGUUCAAUCUGAGCCAGGAUCAAACUCUC